rnacentral:lncRNA from 10 species
CUUGGACUUACACCAGUGGUUUUCCAGGGGCUCUGGAGCCUUUGGCCACAGACUGAAGGCUGCACUGUUGGCUUUUCUACUUUUGAGGUUUUGGGACUCAGACUGUCUUCCUUGCUCCUCAGCUUGCAGAUGGCCUAUUGUGGGACUUCACUUUAUGUCUGUUGCCCCAUCAGUGCAGAAUUCCAAUGGGUCCACAAGUGUGGGCAUGCAACAAGACUCAAAGCAAGUACAAGACCAAAGUGAAAUGUGACCUGCAGCUUUGAGAUGUCUCCUAGAAUGAAUAAUCUCCAGGUAUAUUCAAAACCAUUAAUUGCCUCUGAAGGGAGCAAAAUGAGGCUUCCCCAGAAUCCUGUUAUUUGAAGGAGAGAUACUGAGCUCAGUGUUUGCUGCUUCAGUGAGUUCCUAUGGCCAAGCUCUGAGAAGAAUGGGGGAUUGGAUUAUGGACAAGAUAGACUCCUUGAAGUACAUCCCCACUGGAGAAAACUCUUCCGGCAUAGCCCUCUAGGAAUUCCAGCUGAGAGCCUGCCAGUAGCCUACCAGGGCUCCUCCCCUUCCAGAUGCUGACCUCUCAUCUUUGUCACUUCCACAUCACAGACUGUCAAUAACUCCUAUAUGCUUUGGAGAAGAUGUCUACUAACUACUUGGCCUCCAGCCUCCACAUAACUCGAGAAUUUGACAAGUGUCUUGAAAGAAAAACUGAUGAUGGGUCAGGAUCAGUCUUCCCUGCUCAGUAGAUCCUUACCCCUCAAGUCUUUCCACUACUACAAGACACCAAAAGCUUUCCUGGUUUCUCUAUCUCCUCUACCUAGAGAAUACCAGGUUCUCAGACAUUAGCUCUAGGUCCAAAAUCAAGCCGGUUUUUCUUUUGCAGGGAAAAACUGGCCGAAUAGUGUUAACUCACUAGUCUUCCCCUUUCUGGAAUCUUGGCAUUUCUAGUUUUGGUUGCCCUAGCAGCUCUCCAAUGCCUUUAAACAGAUGUCUUCUGCUUCUAUUAGGCUUGUUCUUGGCUGAGGCCUUGGUCUGCUGGAAAAUACUGCCACAUACGCAGAAGUAGAAGUCUCUUGAGACAUCAUCUUAUUAGUUAUUUAUUGCCAUGUAACAAAUUACAUGGAAACUUAGUGACUUAAAGAAACAAUAAAAAUUUAUUAUCUCACAUUUUCUGUGCAUCAGAAUUCUGUGGGAUAGGAGCAGCAUAGCAGAUGGUUCUGGCAAAGAAUCUCUCAUAAGGUUGUAGCCCAAUGUUGCCUCGGGCUUGAGAAUGAGCUUCCAAAAGAGUUCACCCUCAUGACUGCCAAGCAGGUGCUGGCUAUUGUAAGAAAGUCUGUCCGUUUUCACACAGGCCUGUUACGAGUAUUUUCAUGACAUGGCAGGUGACUUCACCACAAUAAGGGAAGCAAGAACAGGAAAAAUGGAAGUGUGCAUGUCUUCUAUGACUGAGCCUUAGAAAUUACACUCUUUCCUUUCUGCAAUAUCCUAUUAGUUACGCAGAUCAGUCUUAUUAAAUGUAGAAGAAGAUACACAGAAAACAAACACCAGGGAACAGAAAUCAUUAUCAGUAAGGCCUAUCUAAAAGAAAAUUAUAUUUAAAAUAAAAUUCUUCAUAUAGAUGGAGAAAUUUAAGAAGUUGUUUUGCUGCAGUAAUGAUCAUUACAAAAUAACUACAAAGUUGUGCUUCUAGUGUUGGUUGCAAUUCUGCUCCUAUCUCAUGCACCUUCUUCAUUCAAGGAUCCAGGCUUGAAUAGCAACCUGCAUCUGGAAUAUGCUAUUCUGGUGACAGAGGGAAAUAAGAGCAAGAACCAUAGCACACAAAGGCCCUCAAUUGUUUACUUAGCUAUGGUAUACAUCACUUCUGCCUACAUUUCAUUGACCAAAGCAAGUCAUAUGGCCAAACCAGAUAACAAUGGAGUAUGAAAGUACAUUUCUCUAAUAGACAGGCACUGCUAGUACCAUGGUAAUCAUAGGGAUAUAUAUCAUAUUUCAGGGAAGUAAAGAAUGAAUAAUUAGGAUCAAUAAUAAAAUCUACCAUGAAUAUCUAGUAUGCACAAAGCAGUCAUAUAAUAAUAAAUUCUAUUUAAAAAGGGCAGCUCAGCUGGGUGCACAUAGCCACAUUUAUAAUUCUGGCUUCAGUCUUGAAAAGAAGAAAACUGUCAAACCAUUUCUACUUUUCGAGGCUUUUAAUUGUUUUCUCAUUUUUAGUCAUGUUUCAGUGAAAUACUUUGGAUAAUAUCAUGAUUACCAAAUCAGUAACUUCAUUUUUUAUUCUACUUUAAAAUUACAUUUAUUCUACUUUAUAAAUGAAGUAUGAAUCUGAUCCAAUUGUAUUCAAAUGACAUUCUAAAAAAAGUAUAUAGAAAAACAAACUGAGAACAAUCUAAGAAUGUUUUAUAAACUAUCUGGAAAGAUUGUUAGGUAUCAAUUGUGGAAAAAGAUUAGAAUCAAAUCUUAAAAUUUUUUACUUAGUAUUUUUCUAAUAAUUCAACAUUACUAAAAAUUAAAUUGAUACUAUAAUAAUUAAUGACCUUUAGUCCUGACAUGUAGAAUGUGUCCAUUCUCUGAGAUAAUACAAUGACAAAAUUAUUAUGCUUAAUACUACACCCAGAAAUAUUAUUUUUAGCAUCCAAACUAGAUUUUUCAUAUUUAUAAUUGUGCAUGGAAACAAUCUGAUAAUCAUAUUUUAAGACCAUAUAUUCUGACAUGGAGUUGCAGAACUGUGAUGAUCAUAAGCCUAUAUGUCUGAAAAGAAUACAUUGUGACUAAGACUUACACUAAACACAAAACAACACUGAUUUCUAGUAUCUUUUGCCAGAUAUACAGCUCUACUGUCCUUGUUUAGGUUUGCUGAUUCAAAUUUCUGUAAGAGUUGGGGUGGUCUUAUGAGGGUAGGAGGAAUUCUAUGCUAACAUUGGAAUGAAGCACAAGAAAAAUUAAAAGUUUUACAACCAUAUGGAAUGCAGUGACUUAUCACUUGAUAAAACAGAAUUUAACUGUUCAAGCCCUCAGCUAUGUAGUUUGGUUCAGCUCUAAUUAAUAAUAUUAAUUCCAUUCAUGUUCUUGGGUUCUAGUUUUCACAGCUUUCAUAAAACUAAUUCUAACUUUUAUACAAUUGAAUGUCCACAUAAGCCAGGCUAGCUAAUAUAUAUUAGUUUGAAAAAUUGCUUUUAUGUGAUACUUCACCCAAAUACUUUUUUUCUAUCUAAUAUCUCUAUCAACCAGGUAAGAAAUUGUUUUCACCAUGCAAUCUGUCAAAAUUACCAAUUUUACAAAAACAUUGGCAUCAAUUUUUCUUUUUCUUUUUCUUUAUUUCUUUUUUUCUGAGAUGGAGUCUGGCUCUGUGCCCAGGCUGGAGUGCAGUGGCGCGAUCUCGGCUCACUGCAAGCUCCGCCUCACGGGUUCACGUCAUUCUCCCGCCUCGGCCUCCC